CCUACGGGGGGCAGCAGUGGGGAAUAUUGGACAAUGGGGGCAACCCUGAUCCAGCCAUGCCGCGUGUGUGAAGAAGGCCCUCGGGUUGUAAAGCACUUUCAGUGAGGAAGAACGCCUGGUGGUUAAUACCCAUCAGGAAAGACAUCACUCACAGAAGAAGCACCGGCUAACUCCGUGCCAGCAGCCGCGGUAAUACGGAGGGUGCGAGCGUUAAUCGGAAUUACUGGGCGUAAAGCGCGCGUAGGUGGCUUGAUAAGCCGGUUGUGAAAGCCCCGGGCUCAACCUGGGAACGGCAUCCGGAACUGUCAAGCUAGAGUGCGGGAGAGGAAGGUAGAAUUCCCGGUGUAGCGGUGAAAUGCGUAGAGAUCGGGAGGAAUACCAGUGGCGAAGGCGGCCUUCUGGACUGACACUGACACUGAGGUGCGAAAGCGUGGGUAGCAAACAGGAUUAGAUACCCUAGUAGUC
rnacentral:rRNA from 1 species